UACGAAGGGUGCAAGCGUUACUCGGAAUUACUGGGCGUAAAGCGCACGUAGGUGGCGACGUAAGUCGGGUGUGAAAGCCCCGGGCUCAACCUGGGAAUUGCAUUCGAGACUGCAUUGCUGGAGUACGGAAGAGGAAGGCGGAAUUCCCGGUGUAGUGGUGAAAUGCGCAGAUAUCAGGAGGAACACCGAUGGCGAAGGCGGUCUCUGGGCCGAUACUGACGCUGAG
rnacentral:rRNA from 1 species